rnacentral:rRNA from 1 species
AUUGAACGCUGGCGGCAAGCCUAACACAUGCAAGUCGAACGAGUGGCGGACGGGUGAGUAAUGUCUGGGAAACUGCCUGAUGGAGGGGGAUAACUACUGGAAACGGUAGCUAAUACCGCAUACCAUCGGAUGUGCCCAGAUGGGAUUAACUAGUAGGUGGGGUAAAGGUUCACCUAGGCGACGAUCCAUAGCUGGUCUGAGCGGAUGACCGGCCAAAAUGGAACUGAGACACGGUCCAGACUCCUACGGGAGGCAGCAGUGGGGAAUAUUGCACAAGGGGCGCAAGCCUGAUGCAGCCAUGCCGCGUGUAUGAAGAAGGCCUUCGGGGUGUAAAGUACUUUCAGCGGGGAGGCGUUACCCGCAGAAGAAGCACCGGCUAACUCCGUGCCAGCAGCCGCGGUAAUUC